UACGUAGGGUGCGAGCGUUGUCCGGAAUUAUUGGGCGUAAAGAGCUUGUAGGCGGGUUAUCGCGUCUGCUGUGAAAAUCCGGGGCUCAACCCCGGACUUGCAGUGGGUACGGGCAGACUAGAGUGUGGUAGGGGAGACUGGAAUUCCUGGUGUAGCGGUGAAAUGCGCAGAUAUCAGGAGGAACACCGAUGGCGAAGGCAGGUCUCUGGGCCACUACUGACGCUGAGAAGCGAAAGCGUGGGGAGCGAACAGG
rnacentral:rRNA from 1 species